ACUCAAAUGAAUUGACGGGGGCCCGCACAAGCGGUGGAGCAUGUGGUUUAAUUCGAUGCAACGCGAAGAACCUUACCUACCCUUGACAUCUAUGGAAUCCUGCAGAGAUGUGGGAGUGCCGCAAGGAACCAUAAGACAGGUGCUGCAUGGCUGUCGUCAGCUCGUGUUGUGAGAUGUUGGGUUAAGUCCCGUAACGAGCGCAACCCUUGUUCACAGUUGCCAGCGCGUAAUGGCGGGGACUCUGUGGAGACUGCCGGUGAUGAACCGGAGGAAGGCGGGGACGACGUCAAGUCAUCAUGGCCUUUAUGGGUAGGGCUACACACGUGCUACAAUGGGGCGUACAGAGGGCAGCCAACCCGCGAGGGGGAGCUAAUCCCAGAAAGCGUCUCUUAGUCCGGACUGGAGUCUGCAACUCGACUCCACGAAGUCGGAAUCGCUAGUAAUCGCGAAUCAGAAUGUCGCGGUGAAUACGUUCCCGGGCCUUGUACACACCGCCCGU
rnacentral:rRNA from 1 species